UGUGGGAGCGAGCCUGCUCGCGAUGGCGGUGGCCCAUUUGGCAUUGAUCUUGGCUGACAGGUCGCUAUCGCGAGCAGGCUCGCUCCCACA
rnacentral:misc_RNA from 1 species